ACGGCUCACGUUUUGUAGAUUUUUUAUUCUCCUCUGUCCACCUCAAUACGAUGGCUUUAAGACGGACGAGAUCCUCCACGACACAGCCGCCGAGCACACGUCUGGCGGCGAUGGCGAGGAGAGAGCUCCUCCACGGCACAGCCGCCGACCUCGCGUAUGGCGACGAUGGCGAGGAGAUGCUCCUGUCCGCGCUGAUCCUGCCACCCAUAUCCUCCCUUUCACCUCCAUUGACCACCACAAUCCCGUGCCUCCGAAUCCCACUUCAUAGCUGUAUUAAUCCCACUUCAUCGCUGGAUUUCUAGGACAAGGACGAGUUGGAGGGGAUUUCCAUCCCAGAGCUCCAAAAUCUGACGCGUCCUCCACCACGUCAGAUCCCUGCGGACGCAGCCCAGGCGGCGCCGGCCCUGCCAAGGAGCCCGGCCGAGCUCCUUCGUGCGUUUUCCAUCAAGAUCGCCUGCAUCAGCUUUGAUUCAAGUCGAGCAUACUUUGGAUUGGCGGAUGAUGCCGACGAUGAUGACCAAAAUCGACCAGCAGAUGGAUGCGGAGUAAUACUGAUGCCUGGACACGAUCUAGAGAACGGCGACCAAGUUCAGCGGCCUGAUACAGCCAUCGGGCAGCAGCGGCGGCUGCUCUGGUCGUGCACCGCACCUUGAGGCCACGGAACACCGGCGAGAUCAUGGUGUCAGCGAAAAAUUGCCUACUCACCAUACCACCGGGAGGAACCCUUUGUGGUUUCUGCCGUGAAGAUGGAGCUGGAAGUGGCUAUCAAGUCACCCACCUUCAAGAUGAAGUCACGAAGGUAUUGAGUGAUCUGCUUGUGUGUUUUGUGAUUUUGGAAGAUCUUGCUGCAAUCCAAGUAUUGCACCAUAGUUCAAUCUUUAUGCCCAUUCUUUUUCUCUGUGUUCACCGUUGAUUAACUUUUUUAUGAUGUCGACUCAUACCAUUUUUCCUACUCACUCUGGUUCGCUGGGAUGUAGUUAUGAUUCUGGCAAACUUUUGCCUAUAAUUUUCCUUCUUUGCAUUUAUUUAUGUCUUGGUAUGUACUUAAGCUAGGUGUCAUGUUGUUCCUGCUUCUUUUGUUUCUUUCUACAUAAAAUUUUAUUAGAAUUGUCUAAAUAUUGGAUCUGUUGAUGCAAGAACAAUGGAGAGAAAUUGUUUAGGAUCGAUGAACUUGAACGGGACAGUGUGCUAUUGCAACUGGAGGAGGAUUGCCUCAACGUUUACAGGAAUAAAGCGGAACAGACUAGAAAGAAAAAAGGCAAACCUACUUCAAGCCAUAUCUUUGAGUGAAGGUCAUAUAAUAAAACAUUUCUGCUAUGUUAUAGCGUGAAUCCUUUGCUAGGGUCUGCAAAUCUGUUUUUGCUGUUUCUGAUAGAAUGUCAUUUCAAAUGCAUGUUUUGCAAUGAGAGAUGAUGAACCUGAAUGUAUUAGAGAGAUGUACUAAAAAAGGAAGAAGAAAAUAAAUGAUAAUUAGUAAACCAGAGAGUUGGGGCUUACUAAUUAGUUUGGUAAGAACUCAAGAUAUUUCUCAUCCUCUGCAUCUUUCUAAUCCAAAACACUAUGUCCAUGAUUACAUACACACAUGCACCAUUCUUUUCGAUAAAAACAUUGAAAACUAAAAGACAGUUCUUUGUCAUGAUCUGCAGCUUCACAGUAUUCUUGAUGGGAUUAAUUUUAGGUCUUAGACACAAAGUAUUACUUAUGAGUUCCUUCUGUUACAAGGUAUGCUAGCUCUUAAUUUAUGUUUCGGACUUCCCUAAUUUUCUUUUCAUGAGAAAUUUUGAGGCAUUGUUGUCCAUAUUUGUGAUACCUAGAUAGUUGCCUAAAUAUUUAUGUACCUUGUUAUAUAAUCUUCAUGAUGAAACCUUUAAUAGUUUCAUACUUUUCACUUUCAUUGGUUUCAGCGUAUUUUCUAUGUGGGUACAGACACAAUUUAUAGAAAUUUCCUUUCCCUUUUCUUUUAAAUUAUAAAGUGCAAUUGAUUGCGCAAGAUGGAGCCUUAUAGAAGAACGGCGAGAUAUGGUCUCAUAGAAGAACUGAGCACUUACAGUAUUUCAUACUAGCAUUUAGAUUUACACAAAUAUGAUAAGGUUUUCGUGGGUUCAAUUUUGUAAGACUAUAGUUGAUGCUAGAAUAAGAUGUGGAAGAUGGAGAAAGUUCAGACCACACAUGAAAUUCCUGAAAAUAAGAUGGAAGAAGUGAGCGUUCACUGCAAUUUAUUUGGUACUAUUUGUUGUGUCUAUGUUCUAAUAUUUUUCACGAUAUACCUCGCAAAGACUAUUUCUGUGUUUUUUUUUGUUGCUAUGCAUCUACAUCGUGUUAUCUCGCUCAUGGUAAAUAAAUGUCGUGUAGUUUGGUAUUUAUCUCGGAAAGCUAUAUGCGAGCGGCAAAUAUUCCACUUUUUCUUUGUCUAUUGCAAUAGUUUAAAGUUGAUCUAUGCUCGAAUUGAAAUCGACGGAAGGUAUGUUCAUCAUACAUCUUAAGAUUAUUUUUAAUAUAUAUGAAAAAUAGACGAUUGGUUGAUCUUUCUACAUAUUUUUCACCUUUCUUUCCCGCAUUUUACGUGUUUAACAUCCCUGAUUUAUUUAGUUUGCCCAUCAGACAAAUACACUUUAUCUAUAGUAUGCUAUAAAAGUAACAAUGAAGGAAAAACUGUAUUGUUCUUUUAUUGUAUAAUUUGGUUUGCUAGAUAGUGAUUUGUCACCAAUUGGGUGGCCACUAAUUUAGAGUUUAGAAUCUCAUGUCUGCACUAUUUGCUAACCUUACUGAGCAGCAUCAUGAACAUAUUUUUACUGAAAAACCGGACAUGUACAACUAUGUUUCCAGUUCAUAAUUUAACACAUAAUUUUGGUUAGUGUGAGUAGCCUAGAUGUAUUGUUCUGAGUAUGGCAUAGGUAGACAGUUCUCUAUCUCAGAAAAUAUGCUUGAAGAUCAGCCCUGUUUUUUUGUCUAAUUUUUAUACAGAGUUUUAGUUGCUUCACACAGAAACAAAUAUCAAGAACACUUCUGAUUAUGGGAGCUGCACACAGUAACAAGCAUCAAGAGCACUUUAUUUUACUGCUAAUCCGAGCAUGUACAACUUUGCUUUUAGUUCUUACAUUACCAUGUAGUUAUCAUUUGUUUGACCAUUGUAAAUGUACUGGUUCUGAAUAUGGCGUAAAUAAGUAGACCUCAAAGUAAGAUUUGAAGGUCACACUGUUCUUUUUUGUCUAUGGAAUGACAACGGCUGGCGCAUGUGUAACAGAUGGGCACUAAUAUAUGUCAAUAAUAUUUUUUCUAAGCCAAACGAAGAAAAGGGAUUAACGGGAAAAGGAGAAGAGGUCACCUGUAGUGAUGUUUUUUUCUGCUGAAAACUUCGGCUCUUUGUCUCGGGGAAGACCUUAUAGCAUGGCAAUGGCAUACGGCAACACUCACUCUCAAAUGGCAUAUUGCUGAUAAUGAGUUAGGACGCCAAGCUGGUAGUGAAAUACUCGAAUGCUUGCAUUGGCGCUUCAGACUCCUCCAAAUCGUCGAUCAGCGGUGGCGGCCUCCAAAAUUUGGGAGGAGGAGCAGGAGAAACUUUGGGAGGAGGAGCAGGAGCUAGACGUCGGGCCAAAAAGAGAAAGGGAAUCCCAUUGUUAUGCUUGCUGCGCUGUGGUCUGAUGAGACAACGAGUACACCAGCGCCCAUUCCGACCCGGUGUCAUCAGCGACAGCGUGGUGCACCGCCGUCUGCCAGAGCAUGAAGCUCCUGCAUCCACUGAAGUUAAUCCUCUAAUCAGCCUUGAAAGCUGGAAAGAAUAAAGACCAAAUUUGGUGACAGGCUUGCCAAGAAACAGAGUAACUAAUGUAUAUUAUGAUUAUUCAAGAAUGAAA